rnacentral:rRNA from 1 species
CGUGUAGGCGGUUUGGUAAGUCAGAUGUGAAAGCCCCGGGCUCAACCUGGGAAGUGCAUUUGAAACUGCCAUUCUUGAGUAUGGGAGAGGAGAGUGGAAUUCCCAGUGUAGAGGUGAAAUUCGUAGAUAUUGGGAGGAACACCCGUGGCGAAGGCGACUCUCUGGACCAAUACUGACGCUGAGACGCGAAAGCGUGGGGAGCAAACA